UAAACGACUCUCGGCAACGGAUAUCUCGGCUCUCGCAUCGAUGAAGAACGUAGCGAAAUGCGAUACUUGGUGUGAAUUGCAGAAUCCCGUGAACCAUCGAGUUUUUGAACGCAAGUUGCGCCCGAAGCCAUUAGGUUGAGGGCACGUCUGCCUGGGCGUCUCACAUUGCGUCGUUCCAAAUUCUCACCACAAAAAGUGUUGGUGUUUUUGGAAGCGGAUUUUGGCUCCCCGUGCACUCAUGUGUGCGGCCGGCCUAAAAAUGAGUCCCUGGCGAUGCGUGUCACGACAAGUGGUGGUUGAUAAGCCGUUGCGUCCUGUUGUGCAUGCUUUGUCACCAAGGGUUUUCUCUAAUGACCCUGAAGUGCCGUUGCAACGGUGCCUCGA
rnacentral:rRNA from 1 species